AUACGGCCAUAUCACGUUGAAACACUAUUUCCCAUACGAUCACCGAAGUUAAGCAACGUCAGGUCUGGUCAAAACCUAGAUGUGUGAUCGCUUUGGAAUACCUAGUACUGUAAG